rnacentral:rRNA from 1 species
GACGAACGCUGGCGGCGUGCUUAACACAUGCAAGUCGAACGGAAAGGCCCUGCUUUUGUGGGGUGCUCGAGUGGCGAACGGGUGAGUAACACGUGAGUAACCUGCCCUUGACUUUGGGAUAACUUCAGGAAACUGGGGCUAAUACCGGAUAGGAGCUCCUGCUGCAUGGUGGGGGUUGGAAAGUUUCGGCGGUUGGGGAUGGACUCGCGGCUUAUCAGCUUGUUGGUGGGGUAGUGGCUUACCAAGGCUUUGACGGGUAGCCUGCCUGAGAGGGUGACCGGCCACAUUGGGACUGAGAUACGGCCCAGACUCCUACGGGCGGCAGCAGUGGGGAAUAUUGCACAAUGGGCGGAAGCCUGAUGCAGCAACGCCGCGUGCGGGAUGACGGCCUUCGGGUUGUAAACCGCUUUCGCCUGUGACGAAGCGUGAGUGACGGUAAUGGGUAAAGAAGCACCGGCUAACUACGUG